GCUCCACCAGUUGAAGAGUAGGAUGAAAAAAAAAAAAAAAGGUUACAUGAAGAUGAUGGAAUUAUAAUCAGGCCUUGAAGAAUGGAGACAAUUCCAGCCGUUGUUGUAGAUGUGGAGGCUGAAGGACAUUCCAAUUUGAAGGAACAGAAGAUGGGAUCUCACUCUGUUGCCCAGGCUGGUCUCCUCCUGCCUUGGCCUCCCAAAAUGUUGGAAUUACAAGUGUGAGCCACUGUGCCUGGCCCUGAAUAAGUUUCUUGACACGGAGUUCCUGAAGAGGAGGAUGGGAACCUUGGAGGCUGUUUCCCCAGGCUGAGAUGUGGGUCUCCCUACGUUGCCCAUGCUGGUCUGGGACUCCGGAGCUCAAGUGAUCCUGCCUUGGCCUCCCAAAGGGCUGGAAUUACAGGAAUGAGCCACUGCAUCAGGCCAACUUGCUACAUUUUAU